rnacentral:rRNA from 1 species
CGGACGGGUGAGUAAUGUCUGGGAAACUGCCUGAUGGAGGGGGAUAACUACUGGAAACGGUAGCUAAUACCGCAUAACGUCGCAAGACCAAAGAGGGGGACCUUCGGGCCUCUUGCCAUCGGAUGUGCCCAGAUAGGAUUAGCUAGUAGGUGGGGUAAAGGCUCACCUAGGCGACGAUCCCUAGCUGGUCUGAGAGGAUGACCAGCCACACUGGAACUGAGACACGGUCCAG